CGGCGCCGACAUUGAUUUUUGCUUCAUCUUUGAAAAGAACAAACCCAAGAAUCAAUUUAACGAAGAAAAACAGAGAAUAAUGCCAAGGCUGAAGAGACGAGGUUAAUGUGUUGUGGAAAGCAGGAGCCUAUGGACGGUGGAGAUGGAUUUGGUGGCUGAGGCUUCAUUACAGCCGUCAGAUCGAAUUUGACAGAGAUGACAAAGUUUGGCGCUUACGCUGCUUUUGGAUCUUCCUUGCGUCUCUACGUUGGCACGAGGUCGGCCUUUCCUCUACGCUUGAUCUUAUUCUCCUUUCCUCCUCCCUAUUCCCACCAACGGCUCUCAUUCCUCCACGUUUCAUCUUACCUGCCACGUGUCGUCUUCUCAUGGUUUGUUUUAUGUCCACAUGGAAUCAUAGACUUUAAAAUUCGGUUUGCUUCUCCCACGAGGUUUCGCUUCACCAUCGCUUUGGUGAUGUCAACUUUUAGCAAUAAAAUAAAUAGGUUUGGUUA